rnacentral:rRNA from 1 species
UACGUAGGGGGCAAGCGUUGUCCGGAUUUAUUGGGCGUAAAGAGCGUGUAGGCGGCUAGGUAGGUCCGUUGUGAAAACUCGAGGCUCAACCUCGAGACGCCGAUGGAAACCAUCUGGCUAGAGUCCGGAAGAGGAGAGUGGAAUUCCUGGUAUAGCGGUGAAAUGCGCAGAUAUCAGGAAGAACACCCGUGGCUAAGGCGGCUCUCUAGUACGGUACUGACGCUGAGACGCGAAAGCGUGGGGAGCGAACAGG